CAAGUCGAGGGGCAGCACAGAUAGCAAUAUUGGGUGGCGACCGGCAAACGGGUGCGGAACACGUACACAACCUUCCUUUAAGCGGGGAAUAGCCCAGAGAAAUUUGGAUUAAUACCCCAUAGUAUAUUGGACCGGCAUCGGUUUGGUAUUAAAGAUUUAUCACUUNAAGAUGGGUGUGCGUUCGAUUAGGUAGUUGGCGGGGUAACGGCCCACCAAGCCUUCGAUCGAUAGCUGAUGUGAGAGCAUGAUCAGCCACACGGGCACUGAGACACGGGCCCGACUCCUACGGGAGGCAGCAGUAAGGAAUAUUGGUCAAUGGACGAAAGUCUGAACCAGCCAUGCCGCGUGGAGGAUGAAGGUCCUCUGGAUUGUAAACUUCUUUUAUCUGGGACGAAACAUGGAUUUUCUAAUUCACUUGACGGUACCAGAUGAAUAAGCACCGGCUAACUCCGUGCCAGCAGCCGCGGUAAUACGGAGGGUGCAAGCGUUAUCCGGAUUCACUGGGUUUAAAGGGUGCGUAGGCGGGCUUGUAAGUCAGUGGUGAAAUCUCAGAGCUUAACUCUGAAACUGCCAUUGAUACUAUAGGUCUUGAAUUUUCUGGAGGUUAGCGGAAUAUGUCAUGUAGCGGUGAAAUGCUUAGAUAUGACAUAGAACACCGAUUGCGAAGGCAGCUGACUACGGAUGAAUUGACGCUGAUGCACG
rnacentral:rRNA from 1 species